rnacentral:rRNA from 1 species
CCUACGGGUGGCUGCAGUGGGGAAUAUUGGGCAAUGGAGGAAACUCUGACCCAGCAACGCCGCGUGCACGAUGAAGGUUUUCGGAUUGUAAACUUCUGUCGCGAGGGAUGAAGAAUGACGGUACCUCGUAAGAGAGCCCCGGCAAACUACGUUCCAGCAGCCGCGGUAAUACGUAGGGGGCGAGCGUUGUCCGGAAGGACUGGGCGUAAAGGGUGUGUAGGCGGCAUAUUAAGUUAUGUGUGAAAGCCCGGGGCUCAACCGCGGAAUCGCACAUAAAACUGGUAAGCUAGAGUUCAGGAGAGGUAAGUGGAAUUCCCGGUGUAGCGGUGGAAUGCGUAGAUAUCGGGAGGAACACCAGAGGCGAAGGCGACUUACUGGACUGUAACUGACGCUGAGGCUCGAAAGCGUGGGGAGCAAACAGGAUUAGAUACCCUUGUAGUC